GAUGAACGCUAGCUACAGGCUUAACACAUGCAAGUCGAGGGGCAGCGCAGUGUAGCAAUACAUGGGCGGCGACCGGCGCACGGGUGCGUAACGCGUAUCCAACCUUCCCGUUACUCAGGGAUAGCCUUCCGAAAGGGAGAUUAAUACCUGAUGGUGUUCAAAUUCCGCAUGUUAUUUGAACUAAAGAUUUAUCGGUAACGGAUGGGGAUGCGUGACAUUAGGUAGAUGGCGGGGUAACGGCCCACCAUGCCUACGAUGUCUAGGGGUUCUGAGAGGAAGGUCCCCCACACUGGAACUGAGACACGGUCCAG
rnacentral:rRNA from 1 species